AGCUUCGUAGCUCAGCUGAUGGAGCGCUUCUCGCAUUUGGACAUAGUGAUUGCGUCGCUGGUUCGAAUCCAGCCGAAGCCG